rnacentral:lncRNA from 1 species
GGUGACCUGCCCCCAUCCCUGGGGCCUCUUUUGGUCUUUGGGUUCCAGAAAUACCCAGCUGCUUUGUGUCCCCCCACCCCAUGACUGUGACCUUCAUUCUGUUGCCCUCGUUCGAGCUUCUGUCUCAAAUGUCCUCCCUCUUGCCCUUCUCCAGGAUUACUCCCCUUCUGUGCUAGAGCUCAGCUAAGGAGUCCUUCCCCUAUGGGAAGUCACACAACCCCAAGCUGGGACUGGAGCCUGUCUGACGCCCCGUAUCUGCUGAGGUGACCAGGGAGCUGCACUACUGUGUCCCAAGCUUGCAGGAGGAGUCACCUCUCAUCUGUUUCAAGGGAGACCAGCGACCAGUGAGGCUGCCCACGUUUUCACAGUGGAUAUCCUGCAACUCCUGGGUCAGCACUGGUGGAACAUAGACAUAGGUUCUUCACCUCUGCAGUUUUUCAAGGAAUAUGGCCAUCUCUCAGCGACUUAGCCUUCUUUUGGAGACUUGCUUACCAAACAGAUAAUUAGGAAUGGCCAGUGUCAUUCUGAACACCCUAACCAUGCCUGAUACCUCCUCACUGCCAUAAAUCAAGUCGAGUGUUGGUUGAAGCAAAGCUGGAUGGAAUCAACCUGUCGAAAGCCCUGACUUCCGGUCCUGCUACUCUCAUUUCUUACACACACUGCGCUACCUCCUGUUGGCUCGUCCAGCUUUGAAGUACACAUGGAACGAACUAACGUGGUAUCUCCUAUGCCUAACUAAUCCUGCCUGAAGAGUCUCCACUGGAAGUAUUUGAGAGCAGUAUUUAUUUUCCCGGUAUGAUUUAUGUAAACAUCUGUCCCACGCACCAGUAGCAUAUUAAUGAGUAACUCAAAGAAAAAAA